CUGAACAAUAGCCUAGUUCUAGAGCAGUGUCUGUUCUUUUCCUCUGCACUGAAAGGACUACUUCUCCUUUUAAAUGUAUUCAGAAAGUCAGCACAUUA
rnacentral:snoRNA from 1 species